UCAUUUACAAAGCACUUUAAUUUUCCUAGGGACAGUACACAGAUUAACCUGUGCACAGGCUUACAGUCUAAUAGACACCACAUUGGAGGAAAAGGGAAUUGGGAGGGAAGAGGAAAACAAGUACACAAAGGUUGCCGUUUUUAAAGUUACAUACAGGCGACUCAAUUUACGCUGGGGUUACAUUCCAAGGAGAGCAUGUAAAGCCAAAAUUGUGUAUGGUCAAAACCAACCUGGCUACCCCAUGUCUGCUUGGAAGCAGGUCUCAUGGACUCUAAACUGCAUAGGAGGUAGGGUGGGCAUGUGGGUCAAUGCUGCUUAUGGUUAACUAGAAGAUUGGUGGUUCAAGCCCACCCAGGGACAGUUGUGGGCAGGACUAGAAGACCCUUGGGGUCCCUUCCAACUCUACAAUUCUAUGAUUCAAUUCUAUGACUUCAUUUGCAGAACUCUCCUCUGUUUGAUGGACAGCGAUUAAUGGAGUCCUCUAUCUGAAAUACAGUUGGAGCCAAAUUUGUUUUGAAGAGGAAGAACCAGAAGAGAGAGAAAUGGAAGGACUUGUGGUUCUCCAUCAAGUUAGCACCUGGAUAGCAGAUUGAGCUGACACAUUAUUCGCAGUUGUCAUGACUUUGGUGAGAUGGCUUGUUAUUAAUAUUAUUAUUUAUUAAAUUUAUGUACUACCCUUCAGCUGAAGAUCUGAGGGCGGUUUGCUACAUAAAAGCACAAAAUAUACUGUAUAACAUAAUAGCAAAAAAGCAACAACACAACAACAACCAAGCAUGACACAUAAUGUUGUGACUCAGAAAAGAAAUUUGCUUUGUUCAUUAUUGUUUUAUUACCAGUAAUAGAAAUGAGAAACUGUUUUUCAAAAUUUUGUAUAGUUUCUAGUUUAGUUUUUGGUGGAAGUUGAACUGCAGCAGAAUGAAAGCAGUAUUGAAUGCAACAAAUACAUGGUGGGAAUGAAAAUAAUACCUUCCAGCAUCCACUUUAACACAGAUUGGGAUUAAGGUUUCCUCUCAAGGGUUCCUGGUACUUUUGUGAUGCCGCAAAAUAGCAAGUAGAUACACCUCAUCCUGUUAGAGAGGUAUAAUCCAUCUGGCUUAGAUGGAGGUGCAUGGGUGAAUUGGUCUGAACGAAACUUGAAUUGACUUUAAUAUAUAAUGCAGACAUGUUAUGUAAGGAGUUGUAAAUGGUGCUUCACCCUCUACAACAGGGGCAGCUAACCUGCAGCUCUCCAGAUAUUGUUGGAAUCCGCCUCCCAUCUGCCCCAGCUAUAAUCGUCAAUGGUCAGAAAUGAUGAAAAUUGUGGAAAAUCCUCUUGUUAACCUUUAGUAUCCUUCAAGCUUCCACUAGCAGUCCAGCACUGCCUAGGAAUUCAAAUAACACAACCCCUGUGAGAUUUUUAGAUGGACAGUGUAAUUUGUGAGUUUUAGUCAUAUUUUAGUCUGCCAUUUAGAUUCAAAAUGGCACUUGGCAUUCAAACGUCAACCAAGACUGUAGCCCCUACCUCGGGAACAUUCGUGUCAAAUUUGGCGGCAGUUUCUCAAAAGAGGUGGCCAAACUUAUAGAGCACAGAUGGACAGACAGACAAACUGUUUCCAAAAUAUACAGUAGAUUAGACAACAGGUAAGACCAGUGUUAAAACAGAUGUGCAUCCAGCCUGCUUGAUUGCAAUUGGCUAAACACCUGACUUCUAGAGACAAAUGGCUUCUACUCAAUUAUGAUGUAGUAAUCUAUUAAUGGCUCUUAAGUAACAAAUCAGGUCUCCCUGCUGUCUUGAAUGUGACAGAAGCAUGCUAAUAAUGAAAAAGAACCAACAUAUGCAGUCUUGCCUAGAAGGGCCGUUGGUCUUUAUGAGCUUUUUCAGUAGGGAAGACUAGUAAAAGGAAUGAAAGACUGCAAACUAUAUUUUAAAGCUCACGUCGCGUGAUUGAAGACAAGAUCAAAUGGUGUAUGAAAUAGGAACAAAACUUUUAAAAAGUAUUAAACCAUGGCUCUGUUAAAAAAGAAAGCCUUUGAAGAUUGGGCAUGCAGAUAUGUGUGUAUAGCAUCAAAGAGGCUUCUCUGUGAUCAUCUAUGGGAGUUUUUUUCUUCAAAUAAAAUAAAAAGAAUUUCAGAGAGAAUUUCAGUGGGCUGAGGUCUCACAAUAUCAUCUAAGCUUCGGUGAGGCACCAGAAAUUUAUAUUACAUGUUUAUUUCUUAAGCAUACAAAUAUACCAUAGCAUUCUAAUAAUUUAGCAACUGUUGUUUGGUUGAAAUGCUUAGGGCACAUAGCGUAGAUCUGAAUUUAGUCUCACCCACAGAAUGGAACAAUUGUUUUCCCCAUUAGCAAUAUCCAAUCUGCCUUCAUUAUUACUUGAGUCUAUUGUUAAAUAAGAUGUGCCCAUUAUAUUAAUUGGAGACUGUGGCAAAACACAGAGGAAAGAGAGGUUGAAACUGCAGCAAGUACACUGUUGUUUAUCAAAGAUCUACUCAGAGUAGAUUCAGUGAAAUUAAUGGAGCUCAGCCAGUCUUGUCCACUCUAAGACAGGGGCACAUCAUGCUUCCUUUCUCAAUACCAACCUCAGCAGCUUUUAUUAGGUAUUACACCAUGUUCUAAAUACCCCAGUCCAGUGCUUUUUUUCUGGGGGGGGGGGACGCAGAAUCUAAGUUUGGCCUCUUUGAGGGGCAGUAUUUCAAUAAGAGUAGGAAAAUGAGAGUACCCCUAAACAUUUUUUUUAGAAAAAAAAGCACUGCCCCUGUCCAUGCCAGUGAUCCCAACUUAAAAGCUCUUACAAACAGUAAGUGCAGUCGUUACUUUCUGAAGCAAAUGUGACUUGGCUUUUCUUCUGGGACAGGUAUGAAGAAGGCGAAAACUCUCUUGCCAUUCCUUUCCAGGAGCUAUCCAUGUUUCCAGGUCUGCAAACACUGAGGUAAAGGGAUACACUACACGAGGUCUGCUUCCCUAUCUACACUUACUCCCUUUAGGGACUCAGGAUUGCUCCUUUCUUUGUAUAAGGACUACCACUCACUGAGUGCCCAAGGUUACUUAUCCAGGAGUUUUCUCUCCAUCUGUCUCUGACUUGUUAGGGACACAAGUGUGCUCCUCUGAUCCUGCCCCUCUCCCUGGUCCAGAACUCCUUUUAUAAAAGGAUCAGAUGCAUUUUCCAGGUCCUUCCCCACAUCUGCACCUAACUCCCAACAGUUCUCUAUCAGAGUCCCUGAUAUGGGGCCCUGAUUCUGCAUUCAAGCAGGGAAGAAACUUAAAGUGCAGAAGGUCAGUCCCUAGCACUCCUUCACUUCCACAGGAGCCAAAUCCUAGGGUCCAAGGGUCAAAUAUUUGAGGGGGCCAGACCCUCCAAAGGUGAUGCGCAUUGCCAUACAAAUGGUGUUUUUUUUAAAAUGAUAUUUAUUAAGCAUUUUAAAGUUACAGAAAAAACAAAGAAACAAAGAAGAAAAAAACAAGGGAAAAGCAAACAGCAGUCAAACCAUACAAAUCAAUAAAAAAAAGACAAAACACAUCAAAAUCCAAAAAACAAAAGUAAACCACAAACAUUUAAAAACAGAUCCAAUAUUCCCAAAUCCUUAACUGUCAUUGCCUUAUUUCAUCGACCUCCUCACACCUCCCUUUUUGUAUUCCAGUUAUUAAUUAUAACAGCAAAUCCUUCCCAUUUUUCAUAAUAUUCUGUCAUUAAAUUACCUUAAUCUAUUUUAACCUUAUCUUACUAUAAAAGACCC
rnacentral:lncRNA from 1 species